rnacentral:rRNA from 1 species
AUGUCCAUAAACCCUCCUAUCCUCAAGAAGAUCGCUAGGGUGGUCUACGACUUCCUGUGGCAUGGGCGCAAGGACGCCAGGGUCGGCUGCUACCUUGUCAGCUGGCCGAAGAUCUCCCGGCCGUUGGAGCUCGGCGGGCUUGUUGUGCGUGACCUCCACCGCACUGGGAUCGCGCUUCGUGCGCGUUGGCUUUGGCUGCAAGCCACCGAUCCCGAUCGCCCAUGGAUUCACCUACCGCUUCCCAGGGAUGAGGAGACCAGACAGUUUUUUCGCGCGUCCACGACCUGGACCUUGGGCGGUGGCCGGACUUGCCAGUUCUGGACCGACCAUUGGCUGCAUGGUCAGAUCGUUGCCGAGAUUGCGCCGACAUUGUUGCUUCACAUCCCACGCAGACGUAGACGCAGCAGAUCAGUGCGUGAUGGGAUCAUGGACCGGACCUGGAUCCGCGACAUCCAUGGCUCUCUGGGACCGGCCGCCACAAUCGAGUACUUUGAUCUUUGGCGGCGUAUUCAGCAGGUCCAACUCUCUGACGCGCCCGACAAAAUCUCCUGGAAGUGGACCCAAAGCGGGAAAUAUUCAGCUUCUUCGGCCUACAAAGCCCUCUUCCUAGGCUCCACCACCGCGCCUAACUGGUGA